rnacentral:rRNA from 1 species
CAGUAGCCGCGGUAAUACGUAGGUGGCAAGCGUUGUCCGGGAUUAUUGGGCGUAAAGGGCUCGCAGGCGGUUUCUUAAGUCUGAUGUGAAAGCCCCCGGCUCAACCGGGGAGGGUCAUUGGAAACUGGGAAACUUGAGUGCAGAAGAGGAGAGUGGAAUUCCAUGUGUAACGGUGAAAUGCGUAGAGAUGUGGAGGAACACCAGUGGCGAAGGCGACUCUCUGGUCUGUAACUGACGCUGAGGAGCGAAAGCGUGGGGAGCGAACAGGAUUAGAUACCCCAGUAGUCCCUGUCUCUUAUAC